GACGAACGCUGGCGGCGUGCCUAAUACAUGCAAGUCGAGCGGACUUUCAUUGUUGCUUGCACCUUUGAAAGUUAGCGGCGGACGGGUGAGUAACACGUGGGUAACCUACCCUGUAGAUUGGGAUAACUCCGGGAAACCGGGGCUAAUACCGAAUAACACUUUUGAACUCAUGUUCGAAAGUUAAAAGAUGGUUUCGGCUAUCACUACAGGAUGGGCCCGCGGGGCAUUAGCUAGUUGGUGAGGUAACGGCUCACCAAGGCAACGAUGCGUAGCCGACCUGAGAGGGUGAUCGGCCACACUGGGACUGAGACACGGCCCAGACUACUACGGGAGGCAGCAGUAGGGAAUCUUCCACAAUGGACGAAAGUCUGAUGGAGCAACGCCGCGUGAGUGAAGAAGGAUUUCGGUUCGUAAGACUCUGCUGCAAGGGAAGAACAAGUAGCGUAGUAACUGGCGCUACCUUGACGGUACCUUGUUAGAAAGCCACGGCUAACUACGUGCCAGCCGCCGCUGUAA
rnacentral:rRNA from 1 species